rnacentral:tRNA from 1 species
GCCAGGAUGGCGUAGUGGUUCGAGUGCUGGAUUAUGAUGCUGGAGACCAGGGUUCGAUUUCCAGCUCAGCCA